GACGAACGCUGGCGGCGUGCCUAACACAUGCAAGUCGAACGGGGCUCUUUGGAUCGAGACUUCGGUCAAGUGAAUCUGAGCUUAGUGGCGGACGGGUGAGUAACGCGUGAGCAACCUGCCUUUCAGAGGGGGACAACAGUUGGAAACGACUGCUAAUACCGCAUAAACGUGUCGUAGGGAGGCAUCUACCUUGAACACCUAAAGAUUUAUCGCUGAAAGAUGGGCCCGCGUCUGAUUAGCUAGUUGGUGGGUAACGCCUACCAAGGCGACGAUCAGUAACCGGACUGAGAGGUUGAACGGCCACAUUGGGACUGAGACACGGCCCAG
rnacentral:rRNA from 1 species